GCGCCUAUAGCUCAGCUGGUAGAGCAGCGGAUUCUUAAUCCGUCGGUCCGGGGUUCGAGUCCCUGUGGGCGCACCA
rnacentral:tRNA from 1 species